rnacentral:rRNA from 1 species
AACGAACGCUGGCGGCAGGCUUAAUACAUGCAAGUCGAACGGAUCCUUCGGGAUUUGUGGCAGACGGGUGUGUAACGCGUGGGAACGUACCCUUUGCUACGGAAUACCUCAGGGACACUUGAGCUAAUACCGAAUGUGCCCUACGGGGGAAAGAUUUAUUGGCAAAGGAUCGGCACGCGUUGGAUUAGCUAGUUGGUGGGGUAAUGGCCUACCAAGGCGACGAUCCAUAGCUGGUCUGAGAGGAUGAUCAGCCACACUUGGACUGAGACCCGGCCCAGACUCCUACGGGAGGCAGGAGUGGGGAAUAUUGGACAAUGGGCGCAAGCCUGAUCCAGCCAUGCCGCGUGAGUGAUGAAGGUCUUAGGAUUGUAAAGCGCUUUCAACUGUGAAGAUAAUGACGGUAGCCGGAGAAGAAGCCCCGGCUAACUUCGUG